AUACGUAGGUGGCAAGCGUUGUCCGGAAUUAUUGGGCGUAAAGCGCGCGCAGGUGGUUCCUUAAGUCUGAUGUGAGAGCCCCCGGCUCAACCGGGGAGGGUCAUUGGAAACUGGGGAACUUGAGUGCAGAAGAGGAUAGUGGAAUUCCAAGUGUAGCGGUGCAAUGCGUAGAGAUUUGGAGGAACACCAGUGGCGAAGGCGACUGUCUGGUCUGUAACUGACACUGAGGCGCGAAAGCGUGGGGAGCGAACAGGAUUAGAUACCCUGGUAGUCCACGCCGUAAACGAUGAGUGCUAAGUGUUGGGGGGUUUCCGCCCCUCAGUGCUGCAGCUAACGCAUUAAGCACUCCGCCUGGGGAGUACGGUCGCAAGACUGAAACUCAAAUGAAUUGACGGGG
rnacentral:rRNA from 1 species